AUAAUGAUACUUCUGUGAAGCUCGCCAUAAAGAGGGGAGAGGUGAAAAUCCUAUGC
rnacentral:ncRNA from 1 species